rnacentral:rRNA from 1 species
UACGGAGGAUCAGAGUGUUAUCCGGAUUUAUUGGGUUUAAAGGGAGCGUAGGUGGAUUGUUAAGUCAGUUGUGAAAGUUUGCGGCUCAACCGUAAAAUUGCAGUUGAAACUGGCAGUCUUGAGUACAGUAGAGGUGGGCGGAAUUCGUGGUGUAGCGGUGAAAUGCAUAGAUAUCACGCAGAACUCCGAUUGCGAAGGCAGCAUACCGGCGCCCGACUGACGCUGAAGCACGAAAGCGUGGGUAUCGAAUAGG